AAGAGAUCAAACAACAAAAAAGACUUGACUCAAAGACAAAGUCUAUUAUAAGUAAAACCCUACAAGCAUAUGUAAAUAACGAGUUUGCAUCACCGCCCCACUGCCCUUCACCCCACAAAUGCCCCACACGACGUGCGACUGACACCUGUCCAGUCGCACGCGGUGGGGCGUUCCCGCGUGCGACGCUUACGUGACGGACAUUAGCCCCGCCAGUUAGCCCCGAAACCAGUUCUUUUCCCAUAUUCGCACCCCUCCUGAAGCUCAGAUUGGAGGAGAAGCUCUGACCCCGUUCUCUGUCCGAGCUCAGAUUUCCGCUUCCAUCUCCGGCACCGGCGAACGCUCCGGUCAUCAGGUCAAUCCUUCCAACAGACUUGAGAACUGAUUGGGAGAUUGUUUUUAUGCCUAACCAAGAAGAGAGGCAGAAUGGUGCACUACAGCAGAAGAAUUGUGGACAAUGAGAAAAGAAGAGCACGAAAAAUUUUCAAGAUAAAUCCUGUACAAGAGCUGCACUUAUUUGAAAACUUUUUUAACAGUAAAUUGUGGAGAAGAGGGGUAGUUUUGUCUUUUUAUUUAUUCCUCUUUGUCUAUUAUUGGGCAUGUAUGCUAGUGUACAGCCUUGUACAGUUCUAUAUUUUAAUAUAAAUACCUAUUUCCUGGGUUGGAUCUGGACUGAUAGUGAUAGACCAACCAAACAGUCA